rnacentral:rRNA from 1 species
AUGCAACGCGAAGAACCUUACCGGGUUUGACAUGCAGGUGAUCGCCGUUGAAAGACGGUUUUCCCUCUUCGGAGGCACCUGCACAGGUGCUGCAUGGCUGUCGUCAGCUCGUGUCGUGAGAUGUUGGGUUAAGUCCCGCAACGAGCGCAACCCUUAUCCCCAGUUGCCAUCAGGUAAAGCUGGGAACUCUGGGGAGACUGCCGGUGAUAACCGGAGAAGGCGGGGAUGACGUCAAGUCCUCAUGGCCCUUACAUCCCGGGCUACACACGUGCUACAAUGGCAGGUACAGAGGGCUGCGAAGCCGCGAGGUGGAGCGAAUCCCAGAAAACCUGUCUCAGUCCGGAUUGAAGUCUGCAACUCGACUUCAUGAAGGCGGAAUCGCUAGUAACCGCGAAUCAGCAGGUCGCGGUGAAUACGUUCCCGGGCCUU